rnacentral:tRNA from 1 species
GAGGUCUUAGCUUAUAUAAAGUGUCUGAGUUGCAAUCAGGUGAUGUAUUGUUUAAUUUACAGGCCUU